UACACUCCUGCGGGAGGCAGCAGUGGGGAAUCUUGCGCAAUGGGCGAAAGCCUGACGCAGCCAUGCCGCGUGAAUGAUGAAGGUCUUAGGAUUGUAAAAUUCUUUCACCGGGGACGAUAAUGACGGUACCCGGAGAAGAAGCCCCGGCUAACUUCGUGCCAGCAGCCGCGGUAAUACGAAGGGGGCUAGCGUUGCUCGGAAUUACUGGGCGUAAAGGGAGCGUAGGCGGACAUUUAAGUCAGGGGUGAAAUCCCGGGGCUCAACCUCGGAAUUGCCUUUGAUACUGGGUGUCUUGAGUAUGAGAGAGGUGUGUGGAACUCCGAGUGUAGAGGUGAAAUUCGUAGAUAUUCGGAAGAACACCAGUGGCGAAGGCGACACACUGGCUCAUUACUGACGCUGAGGCUCGAAAGCGUGGGGAGCAAACAGGAUUAGAUACCCUUGUAGUCCCAUGAU
rnacentral:rRNA from 1 species